rnacentral:rRNA from 1 species
UACCGAGACUGCAAGCGUUAUUCGGAUUCACUGGGCGUAAAGGGUGCGCAGGCGGCCAAGUGUGUGAGGCGUGAAAGCCCGGGGCUUAACCCCGGAAUUGCACCUCAAACUACAUGGCUAGAGCAUUGGAGAGGGUAGCAGAAUUCAUGGUGUAGCAGUGAAAUGCGUAGAUAUCAUGAGGAAUACCAGAGGCGAAGGCGGCUACCUGGACAAUUGCUGACGCUCAGGCACGAAAGCGUGGGGAGCAAAAGGG